AUGCAUACCCAAGUCAAGCUUGUGGUCAUGAUGAAGGUGCUGAUCUGGGUUUCCUAUCUUCAGAAAGCCCAGCCCCAGCAGCAGCGGCUGUGCCGGCGAGCAGGGCAGCAGCGUUGCCUCCAGCGCCAGCAUCGAGGAGCCUUACCCCGCCCCCACGCCAUGGACUCGUGCGCGGCAAGAAGCACGCCAACGAGACCAAGAAGGUGGCCAUGGCUGGGCUCGUUCACCAUUCGUUCAACUUCAGAGCUCAUCAGGUUGAAGGCGCUAAGGUGUUGGAGAUGUGCCUGUACUUGUUGA
rnacentral:rRNA from 1 species